UACGUAGGUGGCAAGCGUUUGUCCGGAAUUAUUGGGCGUAAAGCGCGCGCAGGCGGUCCUUUAAGUCUGAUGUGAAAGCCCACGGCUCAACCGUGGAGGGUCAUUGGAAACUGGGGGGACUUGAGUGCAGAAGAGGAGAGUGGAAUUCCACGUGUAGCGGUGAAAUGCGUAGAGAUGUGGAGGAACACCAGUGGCGAAGGCGACUCUCUGGUCUGUAACUGACGCUGAGGCGCGAAAGCGUGGGGAGCAAACAGG
rnacentral:rRNA from 1 species